rnacentral:rRNA from 1 species
GCGACGCGUAACCAACCUGCCCACGUCUGGGGGAUAGCCCGCCGAAAGGCGGAUUAAUACCGCAUAAAACGGUGGCCCGGCAUCGGGCCACGGUUAAAGAUUUAUUGGACGUGGAUGGGGUUGCGUGCCAUUAGCUAGUUGGCGGGGUAACGGCCCACCAAGGCGACGAUGGCUAGGGGAGCUGAGAGGCUGGUCCCCCACACGGGCACUGAGAUACGGGCCCG